AUCGAACGCUGGCGGCAGGCCUAACACAUGCAAGUCGAACGAGUGGCGGACGGGUGAGUAAUGUCUGGGAAACUGCCUGAUGGAGGGGGAUAACUACUGGAAACGGUAGCUAAUACCGCAUACUAUCAUAUGCGCCCAGCUGGGAUUAGCUAGUGGGUGGGGUAACGGCUCACCAAGGCGACAAUCACUAGCUGGUCUGAGAGGAUGGCCAGCAAAAAUGAAACUGAGAAACGGUCAAGACUCCGACGGGAGGAGGCAGUGGGGAAUAUUGCACAGUGGGCGCAGACCUGAGAGAACCAGGCCGCGUGUAUGAAGAAGGCCUUCGGGUUGUAAAGUACUUUCAGCGGGGAGGCGUUACCCGCAGAAGAAGCACCGGCUAACUCCGUGCCAGAAGCCGCGGUAAUAC
rnacentral:rRNA from 1 species